AUCACGUCGCCCGCAUCAAACGUCCUUGUUUGGAUCGUGGUGUAUGCGGGCGGAGACUGGUCUCCUGUGCCCAUGGGCGCGGUUGGCCUAAAUACGAGUCCGCUUAAGAGUGACGCACGACUGCUGGUGGUUGACUACACGGUCGUCUCGUGUCGUGUGUUUCGAUUCUUAAAGGGAAAAGCUCUUGAAGUACCCUGAUGCGCCGUCUUGUGACGGCCCUUCGAUC
rnacentral:rRNA from 1 species